rnacentral:rRNA from 1 species
ACCAGCGGAGGGAUCAUUACCGAGUUUACAACUCCCAAACCCAAUGUGAACGUUACCAAACUGUUGCCUCGGCGGGGUCACGCCCCGGGUGCGUCGCAGCCCCGGAACCAGGCGCCCGCCGGAGGAACCAACCAAACUCUUUCUGUAGUCCCCUCGCGGACGUAUUUCUUACAGCUCUGAGCAAAAAUUCAAAAUGAAUCAAAACUUUCAACAACGGAUCUCUUGGUUCUGGCAUCGAUGAAGAACGCAGCGAAAUGCGAUAAGUAAUGUGAAUUGCAGAAUUCAGUGAAUCAUCGAAUCUUUGAACGCACAUUGCGCCCGCCAGUAUUCUGGCGGGCAUGCCUGUCCGAGCGUCAUUUCAACCCUCGAACCCCUCCGGGGGAUCGGCGUUGGGGAUCGGGACCCCUCACACGGGUGCCGGCCCCGAAAUACAGUGGCGGUCUCGCCGCAGCCUCUCCUGCGCAGUAGUUUGCACAACUCGCACCGGGAGCGCGGCGCGUCCACGUCCGUAAAACACCCAACUUUCUGAAAUGUUGACCUCGGAUCAGGUAGGAAUACCCGCUGAACUUAAGCAUAUCAAUAAGCGGGAGGAAA